GCUACGGGGAGCAGCAGUGAGGAAUAUUGGUCAAUGGACGCAAGUCUGAACCAGCCAAGUAGCGUGCAGGAUGACGGCCCUCCGGGUUGUAAACUGCUUUUAGUUGGGAAUAAAAGGGGGCUCGUGAGCCCCGUAUUGUAUGUACCAUCAGAAAAAGGACCGGCUAAUUCCGUGCCAGCAGCCGCGGUAAUACGGAAGGUCCGGGCGUUAUCCGGAUUUAUUGGGUUUAAAGGGAGCGUAGGCGGGCUUUUAAGUCAGCUGUGAAAGUCCGCGGCUCAACCGUGGAAUUGUAGUUGAUACGGGAGGCCUUGAGUGCACACAGGGAUGCCGGAAUUCAUGGUGUAGCGGUGAAAUGCUUAGAUAUCAUGAAGAACUCCGAUCGCGAAGGCGGCUCUCUGGUCUGUAACUGACGCUGAGGUUCGAAAGCGUGGGUAGCAAACAGGAUUAGAUACCCCUGUAGUC
rnacentral:rRNA from 1 species